rnacentral:lncRNA from 1 species
AAAGAGUCCUCAUUCUUUUUCAGGUAUCUGCUUUUACUUCAAAAUUUCCUUUCAUUCUCGUUCAUUUCCAAUUUCCAUAUGUGACUUUGAUUUCGCCAAGUGACUAGAUGCGACCAUAUAAAUGAUGAUUGGUGCAUUCUUUCUUAUUUUUUAUUUUUUAUUUGUCUCCUAUUGCUUUGCAUAAGGUCUAGUGCCAAUGUUUCUAACUUUAACUGAAUGUUAUGCUGUUUAUUUUACAGUCUCAUGAUGGCUCGGGUGUUUAUUCCAUUCGGAAUAUCUCGAGUGAUUUGAUUCCUAAGAAAUUUGGUGGGGAUUCAUGUAUGAACAUUAGUGGGAGUGGUCAAGGGAAGAUAGCUACGUUGAACAAAUACAACAACAUGGAAAGUGGGAUAUUUUCUUUGUUGAUGGAAACAAGUGCUUCUGUUCGUAGUGUGAUCAAG